GACGUAGGAGGCGAGCGUUGUCCGGAUUCAUUGGGCGUAAAGAGCACGCAGGCGGUUUGGCAAGUCGGAUGUGAAAACCCGAAGCUCAACUUCGGGCCUGCAUCCGAAACUGCCCGACUAGAGGUAGGUAGGGGAGAUCGGAAUUCCUGGUGUAGCGGUGAAAUGCGCAGAUAUCAGGAGGAACACCGUGGCGAAGGCGGGCUCA
rnacentral:rRNA from 1 species